rnacentral:rRNA from 1 species
UACGAAGGGGGCUAGCGUUACUCGGAAUUACUGGGCGUAAAGCGCACGUAGGCGGAUUGUUAAGUCGGGGGUGAAAUCCUGGAGCUCAACUCCAGAACUGCCUUCGAUACUGGCGAUCUCGAGUUCGGGAGAGGUGAGUGGAACUGCGAGUGUAGAGGUGAAAUUCGUAGAUAUUCGCAAGAACACCAGUGGCGAAGGCGGCUCACUGGCCCGAUACUGACGCUGAGGUGCGAAAGCGUGGGGAGCGAACAGG